rnacentral:rRNA from 1 species
UACGUAGGGGGCGAGCGUUGUCCGGAAUGACUGGGCGUAAAGGGCGCGUAGACGGCUGUCUAAGUCUGGAGUGAAAGUCCUGCUUUCAAGGUGGGAAUUGCUUUGGAGACUGGAUGGCUUGAGUGCGGAAGAGGUAAGUGGAAUUCCCAGUGUAGCGGUGAAAUGCGUAGAGAUUGGGAGGAACACCAGUGGCGAAGGCGACUUACUGGGCCGUAACUGACGUUGAUGCGCGAAAGCGUGGGGAGCGAACAGGAUUAGAUACCCUGGUAGUCCACGCGGUAAACGAUGAGUGCUAGGUGUAGCGGGUAUCGACCCCUGCUGUGCCGGAGUUAACACAAUAAGCACUCCGCCUGGGGAGUACGGCCGCAAGGUUGAA